AAGGAGUGUUUAGGAGAAGAGCACUGGUGCCGUUUGAUCAGACAAGAUGUGGGUGGAAGUGGAAUCUUAUUUGAAAUAUCCAAGAAAUUAAAACCUUUUUGUGAAAUUAAUUCUCAAAAUAAGAUAAGCUGCUAGUUCUCUCCACUAUUCCAGAAACCCAGCAAACACAGUUCUAGAUCUGCAGGGAGGUGUAGCUGGCUCUGUUACUUCUCUCCCUGGCAAAUAGUUGCUUUCUUCAGAAUGUGUGGGUGUAUCCGUAGGAGUUUGUGAGUGAAUAUUGGAAGAAUAUUUGGAGAAUUUAUGAGACUUGUUAAAAGAAAAACCCUGGUAGAAAAUAAUAUAUUUGGUGUUCCUCAAUGCUGCAUUGCCUACAACCAGAGGACAGGUAUUUAUAAAUGAUAAUUAUGAAACCAUGUAAAUCAAGUUUGAACGCGUAGGCUACCCUGUUCAAUUACUACUUCGCUCUGCUUACCUUUUACUUUUAUUUGGUGGGGGGACCGAUACAUCCCAAAUCUACAAUACAUCCCAGAUCUUUUAAUAGAAUCAUGGGCCUGACUUCAGAGAACUGCUCUAGAACUCUCUAUUGCUAAAACAGUUGAUAGUCUUAGUUUCAGUCUGAUUUAUGUUUUUAGGCAACAAUUCUGUUAAUGUAGAAACACAGUUGUCAGUAUGUUUGUUCAUGUCCUCUCCGUUGACAUGAGAUUGAACGGUGAAUUUUGAGUCAUUUUUCACAUUUGUUGGUCACAAUGUCAUUUCCAUUUUUUCUCAGCCAAGACUCCCUCUAGUGGAGAGCACAUCACGUUACCCUGAAAACUGGAAAACUGAAAACCAGACAGUAUUCUAUACAGGGUAGCUUCAUCAGAAUAGAUUAUAGGUGGGGCCAUGAUAGGUGGGUUCAUAAUAACAGGAACUUAGUUUAAGGUCAAAUGAUGUACCAGUAUGUAUAAUAAAUAACAGAAAAUCAUUACAUUAUUGCAAUGUUUUACUGAAAGUAUUGCAUGACCUCAAUGAACUCUUGAUCCUUCCCUCACAACAGGGAAAUACCCAGUCUCCUCUCCAGCCAGUCCACAUACAUCCAGCUGAUAGCUGUGAGAUUCACUAACUACACCUCUCUACUUGCCUGACAAAGCCCUCUGGCACAUGGUGAACAGAGGAGCACAGCCACCCGGAGAUGUGCACCAGCAGUACUGCCUCGGGGGGUGUACUGGCUAGGCUGGAGAGGUGAACUGGCUAAGUUGGGGAGCAGCAGGGGAGCUGGACUGGCUAGGCUAGGGGAGCAGCAGGGGAGAUGGACUGGCUAGGCUGGAGAGGUGAACUGGCUAAGUUGGGGAGCAGCAGGGGGAGGUGGACUGGCUAGGCUGGAGAGGUGAACUGGCUAAUUGGGGGAGCACCAGGGGGAGGUGGACUGGCUAGGCUGGAGAGGUGAACUGGCUAAGUUGGGGAGCAGCAGGGGAGGUGGACUGGCUAGGUUGGGGGAGCAGCAGUGGGAGAAGGACUGGCUAGACUGGGGGAGCAGCAGG
ensembl:lncRNA